rnacentral:lncRNA from 1 species
GUGAGACUGUCACUAGGAUUCCUCGCACAACAGCAAGGAAUCUCCAGGAAAUCGCCACUGAGGGCGCUGUGGGCAGGCCCUUGAAGGGCUGCGGGACUGAAGCCCGUCUGACCUUAACCACCACAUGGAAAAUUCUAAGAAAUAUACGCUAAAGGAGCUGCGUUUGGGCAUUUGGUCAGUGCCUUCCCACGACAACACUACUCACUGGAGUCACAGUGGAGAACAUCAUGAAACCUUAAUUGGCC